rnacentral:rRNA from 1 species
GACGAACGCUGGCGGCGUGCCUAAUACAUGCAAGUCGAGCGAACAGACGAGGAUCUUGCUCCUCGCUCGUUAGGGGCGGGCGGGUGAGAAACAUGAGUAACAUCCACCUAUAAGACUGGUAAAACCACGGGAAACCGGCGCAAAUACCGUAUAAUCUAUUGAAGCAUAUUGUUCAAUGGAGAAUUUCGGUUUUGGGGGCUGUAAUAGAUGGAUCCCCGCCGCAUUAGCUAGUUGGGAGGGUAACGGGUUACCACGGCAACGAUGCGUAGACGACCUGAGAGGCUGAUAGGCCACACGGGAGCGGGGACGCGGUCAAGACUCCUGAGGGAGGCAGCAGUAGCGAAUGGUCCGCAAUGGGCGAAAGCCUGACGGAGCAACGCGGCGUGAGUGGUGGAGGUCCUCGGAGCGUAAAAAUCUGUUAUGAGGGAAAAACAAAUGUGUAAGUAACUAUGCACGUCUUGACGGUAACUGAUCAGAAAGCCACGGCUAACUACGUG